UAAUACAAGGCACUGCUUUGUUGUUAUCAGGAAGCCAAAAAUGCUAUCCCUUUCUUUCGUACGAUAGUCCCUCUUCUUCUUUCACGUUUUCUACUAAAAAUUCAAUCAACAAUACACAUCUAACACAUAAAACCAAAUACAAAUCUAAAGAAAACGAGAAGAGGAACCUACCAUGCGGUAGUUGGCCGGGAGUAGGCGCUUGGGUUCGUGAGUCUCGUCCGAACGGUGUUGCUGCGUCUCGGUGGUUCGGCGGAAUUUUUGUUCAUGAAAGGAUGAAGGUGAAAUUGGAGAUGGUGAUACGGUGUUGUGAUUUUACAUGGUACAAGUUGAUGGAGUUUGCAGGAAGGUUUGUAUUGUUUAUGGUAUUUGAACUUUGUGAAAAACAAGUUGUAUAUGGAGUUUAUGAAUAGUGGUCUUAUUUAAAUAGUUUUGAUGAUGUGAGUUUCUGUGUGAUGUUAAUAUCAAUGGUGUAAAGAGAUAUGAAGGUUAGUUAUGGUGUGAAGGUUUAGUUAUGAGGUUGAAUAUUGAAGCAUGGUGAUACAUAUCAACUACCUAACUAAAAAUCAACUACCUAACUAAGAAUGAGGAGUGCUACCAAACUCCCAAUUUUAUCCUUUAGGAGCUUUUCAUUUUGCAUUAUGAAAAGUCCUUUUUGAUAAUUCACUAAAUCCAUUUCUUUUAGCCAAUCAUAUUACUUGAAUCUUACAAGUGGCACCCCUUAUUUUCAAAUUUUAUUUGAACAUCUCUUUACCCGGGAAAAGCAUUAUAAUGUGUAUUAACCUUUUCAUAUAAUUUUUCACCUCUAUUCCUUUCAUUUCACACAUCUGUUUCUUUCUCCAAUACCAUAUGUGAAUCUUUCUUUCCAAACCCUAGAAGCGUUGGUGCAUUUUCGAAAUGGGAACAAAAAUGGUGGCUCAUGGAUUUGUUAAAGCAGGUUUGGUGAUGUUGUUGGUGUAACUGAGUUGUUGGAUGUUGAUGGAGAUCGCUAAUGGUUUAGUUGUGUUGCAUGUGACGAUUUGGUGAUGCUGAUGAACGGUUGUUGUUCGUGGCUCUAGUGUCGUUGCGAUUCAGAAUAGCUUCAUUCUCGCCGCUAUUGCCUGAGCACUCAGUGAGAUGAGUUUUUGCUGUUAUGGAUUAUUGCAACCAGUUCAAUUUGGCUCGGGUUUUCCUAUGCAUUUACUUUUUGUAUGGUGUUAGUGAACCGUUUUGUGUUGAGCUAAAACGGAUUAUCUUUUCUGCCAUGUUUCAGGGUGUUUUAGAAGACAUAAAUGAUGCAGAAGUUGGUUGUGCGUGUGUCAAACUCUGGGUUUAGCAACUUUAUUAAUGUGGCGGAGAAGCUGGUUGCGGUGUGUCAAACUCUAGGUUGAAGCAAUCAUCAGAGACCGUUGUUCUGUGGUGCUGUAGAGGGAGUCUUUGUUUGGCUCCCGUGUGUCAAACUCUAGGUUACCCUACUCAUGGGAUCACACGUUUUGUCAACUACCUUCUACGGAACAAAGUAGAUCAGAACUUAUGCUCAUUGCACAAAUAAGUUUAAAUUUUAUUCGUGGAUGAAUUAACAACAUGGAUUGUGACAAGGAGUUCCUGUUGCCGUAGCUCUGAUGGGAAGAAAAAUCAAGACCAACCAUUGUGAGAAUUUUGCUAAGGGGUCUUGCACGCUCGGAGUAAGUUGACUCUAUUAAAGUUAGAAAGUUAUGUAACAUGUAGAUGAUUAAAUUAAACAUAAGUUGACAAAAUAGGUUAGUUUGAAGAAGUCGGAAGCAUUAUCAAAUUUAACGUAUCUUAUCUAGCCUCCCUUAACAGAGCUAAUCAUUGUCAAAUGCCCAUUUAUUUAGAUUAUUAAAUUUGGAAAUGAUGAAGCUAUCUAUGUUUCAAUUUCUCAAGUUUCGAAAAAUUGAAGAUGAUUGUGGAACUACUGUGUCAGAACUGAAAUUGCAACCUGUUGUCAUACCCCAAAAUUUGCCCUCUUAUAUUCAAUCAAAGGGGCUUCUAUACAUCUUCAAUGGUUCAAGUUUCAAUGGCUUAUUCAGGUCACUCUCUCAUACAUCAAACUUCAAUCCCAAGGUUCAAAUGAUCCAUAAUCGGCUAUGUUGACCUAAAAGUCAACUAUAGUCAAAGUACAGUCAAACUUCGAGAUUUUUGGUCAACAUCAAGUAUGUGAGGGUAUAUCAAUCAUUUGAUCAAAGAUUGAUCAUGAUUUAUCAGUAGGAACUCAGAGAUGAACAAAUACAAAAAGGUUCAAAUUAGGGUUUCUCAAGGAGAAAGUCAACUCAACUUUGACUGGCCAUAACUUUCACAUGGAACAUCGAAAAUUCCCCACUCAAAGCCUAUUUGGAAGGAAAUUGGAUUAUCUACAACUUUGUCUCUCACAAGCCAAGGCUAGAAAUGCAUCAUUCAAGAGAUAUGGUCAAAGAGAUUAUAGGUCCUCCAAAAAGUCAACAAAAACACCUUUUUGGGUCAAAGCUCAUAACUUGAGCAUAGAAGCUUCAACUGAGAUGAAACCAAAGGCAUCAUUUAUAUGACUCUUCAAGCUUUCCAA